rnacentral:lncRNA from 1 species
CUUUAAUCCACUCCAUGCCUUUUUUUAUGGAUUAGCAAACUGAGGCCGAAAUGCUGAGUCAUUCAUCAAGCACACACAACUAGUAAGCAUCUUGACCAGGUUUUCUGACUCUUUCCGCUGUGCCACCCUCACAGAGAGACUCAAACCCAGCCUCUGACUCCAGAGCUGUGCCCCUUCCCUGGGGUUGGGCUUCUCCUUAAAAAUAAUAAUCCAAAAAGGACAUACCAGUGUGAACCUAUCAGGAGAAAGAAUUUAGUUCCCUUAUUGUGGGUUCUGGGGAGGGGGGAGUAGGAUGGAAGAAUACCUUUCAGAUUCUUCUUUUUUAAUAUCACCGAUGAGCAAUGGUUUUGCUAAUGCCCUUGCUUUUCUUAGAGAAGCUCUGGUAUGGCUGGAAGUCUUUUCUUUAAAACAGACAUUCUUAUAAAAAUCAGUUUCCUACAUGAAGCUUUUAUGUAAUCAUUUCAGUGAACAUUUGCUUGGUGCCUCUCAUAUGUCAAGGAAGAAGGUGAAUUGGAAACUAGACACAAAAGUGGACAUGCUCUAUGACUCCGUUUCUAUGAAGUUCAAGAACAGCCCCUGCCCCCCAGAGAUGGUUCUGAGACAGAAGAAAUGUUGCUACGGGCAUGGAUUUCUGGAUGGUUUCUAAGAAUUGCUUGAGUUUUGGUGAAAAGAGAAUUCUCCCAAAUAGAAUCAUCUUGGAUUUUCCAAUUACAUGCUCUAAUUGAAGCAGAGACCCUGGGCUCUAAAUCACUCUGCAAGCUGUGUACUGGGCUUGACUCACUGGAAGCAGAGGUAGCUGGCCAAGGCCAGCAUGGCCCAUGGCCCAGCAACUGCCUUUGAUUGGGCUCCACUGCCAGACCGACUAUGGAGCGGCCUGGCCAUGGCCCCCAAGGACUCUGAGAGGGAACAAUUCUGACUAGUAAUGGCAUACUUGGUUUCUGGAGAAGCACGCUCUGGGUCAUUAGGGCUGCCAGCUUGUAGGGCCAACAGGGACCUCACUGGGUUUUUAUGAAAAAUGCUUGUGGCACUGGGUCCAUCCUGGUCAUGAUUCCUGGAUGCCACACCUUCCUGGUAAGGUAAGACAGGUGUCAACCUUCGACCUCCAACCACCACCGCCAGCCUAGGGACAAUGACCAUAUCUCUAAAACCAUAUAAUCAUAUAAGACAUAUGAGUGUAGAAGGAGAAUAGUGACCUGUGCAAGAUUAACCUAGCAAUCCUCUUCCAGAAUAUUCUCUGUCCCUUUCCCUCUUAGUCACUCCCCUUCUCCAAUCUCUCCCUCUCUCUCUCUCUCCUGUGUGUUCCAUCAUAACACUUAUUUCUCUUCUCUUUUAAACUAACUAAAUCUUGACAUUUUAGCUAAGAUCUUCCAUUUAAAUACAGAAACUUGAAAUUAGUUUCAAGUUUUUAACUAGGAAAAACUAAGAAAAAUCCUUGAGAUUAUAAAACAUUGGAACAGGAGACACGAACACUCAAGCCUUCUAUGUUGAGCUAUGCAACAUAACAUCAUUUCAGUUCAACAGUAUCUACCAUUUCUCUGCCAGGUGUCGUGGAAGAUGCUUCAGAAGAUCAAGGUGGAAGGUAAGGAAGUGAAAAUGGAUGAGGCAUUGAUAUAGCCAACAUUUUUGUGUCAAGUUAUGUAGAGAGC